GCGGGAGUAACUAUGACUCUCUUAAGGUAGCCAAAUGCCUCGUCAUCCAAUUAGUGACGCGCAUGAAUGGAUUCGUGAGAUUCCCACUGUCCCUAUCUACUGUCUAGCGAAACCACAGCCAAGGGAACGGGCUUGGAAGAAUCAGCGGGGAAAGAAGACCCUGUUGAGCUUGACUCUAGUCUGACUCUGUGAAAUGACUUGAGAGGUGUAGAAUAUGCGGGAGGGGCAACCCGACAGUGAAAUACCGCAACUUUCAACGUCGUUUUACUUACUCGGUGGAGCGGAGUGAUGCUUGCAUCUCUUCUGGCGCAACCUUCGGGGAUCCGCGUCGGGGACACUGUCAGGUGGGGAGUUUGGCUGGGGCGGCACGUCUGUUAAAAAAUAACGCAGGCGCCCGAUUUUGAGCUCAAUGAGAACAGAAAUCUCAUGUGGACCGAAAGGGGAAAAGCUCGGUUGAUUUUGAUUUUCAGUACGAAUACAAACCGCGAAAGCGUGGCCUAUCGAUCCUCUUGUCUUUGGGAAUUUCAAGCUAGAGGUGUCAGAAAAGUUACCACAGGGAUAACUGGCUUGUGGCUGCCAAGCGUUCAUAGCGACGUAGCUUUUUGAUCCUUCGAUGUCGGCUCUUCCUAUCACUGCCUCGCAGCGGGGGCCAAAUGCAGGAUUGUUCACCCACCAACAGGGAACGUGAGCUGGGUUUAGACCGUCGUGAGACAGGUUAGUUUUACCCUACUGCUGUACGGUUUUUCAAUGGUAAUUUGGUUCAGUACGAGAGGAACCACCAAUUCGCACCAUCGGUAUAGCCGCCGCCGGACGCGGCGAUGCGGCGAAGCUGCCAUGCGCCGGAUUAUAACUGAACGCCUCUAAGUUAGAAUCCACGCCAGAAGGAAAGCCCUCUACCGGCCCGGGGACGCCACGAGCGAGAGUAGCCUUGCCCGAGCCGUUAUCGGCCGCAAUUUCCGGACCCGGGCCGAUGGAUCCCUUGCAGACGACUUGAAUGAGGAACGGGGUAUUGUACGCGGCAGAGUGGCCCUGUUGCCACGAUCCGCUGAGAUUCAGCCUUGGUUCUUACGAUUUGUUGU
rnacentral:rRNA from 1 species